GACGAACGCUGGCGGCGUGCUUAACACAUGCAAGUCGAACGGAAAGGCCCCUUUGGGGGUGCUCGAGUGGCGAACGGGCGAGUAACACGUGCGUAACCUGCCCUUGACUUCGGGAUAACUUCAGGAAACUGGGGCUAAUACCGGAUAGGAAUCCUUGCUGCAUGGUGGGGGUUGGAAAGAUUCGGCGGUUUUGGGUGGACUCGCGGCUUAUCAGCUUGUUGGUGGGGUAGUGGGUUACCAAGGCAUUGACGGGUAGGCGGCCUGAGAGGGCGACCGGCCACAUUGGGACUGAGAUAAGGCCCAGACUCCUACGGGAGGCAGCAGGGGGGAAUAUUGCACAAUGGGCGGAAGCCUGAUGCAGCAACGCCGCGUGCGGGAUGACGGCCUUCGGGUUGUAAACCGCUUUCAGCAGGGGCGAAGCUUGUGGUGACGGUACCUGCAGAAGAAGCACCGGCUAACUACGUG
rnacentral:rRNA from 1 species